AAAACAUGAUGACUAUAGUUUUGGUCCCAAAUGACAAACAGUGAUUACUGUCAUGAGAUCAACUGACGUU